rnacentral:lncRNA from 1 species
CGAGAAUGAAGUGAGACAGAGAAGCACGAUGGAUGAAUUCAGAUGGAUUCAAAUGUUUUUAUGUCUGAUGAUUCAGAUUGCAGUAUCUGUAAAUGAAUCAUCCAUGUUUAUGAAAGUUGGAGGUGACGUCACUCUGCCUUGUCUAAAUGUGAUAGAUGAGCAGAAUAACUGUGAUGGUACUACGUGGGUCUUUACUUCAAGAAACAGAGAAACAGUAGAGCUGAUCAAACUUGGACAGAUUGGUGAAGAAGCUAAAACUAAAUCAGACAGACUGAGUGUUACAGCGAACUGUUCUCUGCUUAUAAAGAAGCUCACAGUUGAGGAUGUUGGUCUUUAUUCCUGUCAACAAUAUAGAUUAGGAAGAACACGAGCUGAGGACACUCUGGUUCAUCAGUCUUUCAUUGAUCUCUCUGUUAUUACCUUGACUGAACAUGAGGACACUGAUACGGUGAUGUUAAGCUGCUCUGUGGUGACAUAUGAACAGUGUCAUCACACAGUGAAGUGGCUGAUUGAAAGUCGAGAUGUGGACAAAGAGAACAGAGAAAUAGUGACCUCACAGACUGACUGCGCUGCCACUGUGUCUUUUCUUGAGUCUCACUCUAUUUAUCCAUCAAGGUAUAAUAUAAUGAAAUGUGAAGUGACUGACACUAACACAAGAAGAGUGCAGCUGUUUACAUUCAGCCUUCAGCCCUCAGGUGAGGAAACAGGUGACACAAAAACAACAACGAAUCCAGCCAGAAAAACUGAAAUAAGCACAAAAUCAGAAACAAACCCAACAAUCAAGAGUCCUUCAAAACCAGCUAUCCAGUGGUUCAUCAUUCCAGCUGUGGGUUUGGUCUCACUCUUGGUAAUUGUUGUGGUUUUCAUCAGAUGGAAGAGAACUAGAGGAAAUAAAACACAGAUGGAUGAAGAUGCUGGACUUAGUUUAAACCCUGCAGAGACUCGGUCUGCUCCUCAAACCAGUCAGCUCUCGGCGGAUCCUGAACCUUCAUAUGCCACCGUCAGCUACACCAAGAACACCAACGGUAACACCAGGAUUUGGGGUGAUGAUGACAAUGAUGCGACCUACUGCACUGCUCCUUUCGCUUCUACUGCAGCCACUGCUGAUCCCGACAACCUCUACUCUACUGUCAACUUUCCAAUCACAUAGCACAAGCAGCUCACAAAAGGACUUGUAUAUAAUGGAAAAUCCUUUUUUUCAAUUUCAAAUGGACCAUGAUGGUAGCAACAUGCUAAUUAGGCAUAAAUUAUUUUUUUAAACCCAUAAAUAGAUAUAUAUCUACUUUUUUAUUGAAAAUAUAAUUGGUGCCUGGAAUACUUUACGUAAGUUAUGAGCUGUAGCAGAUGCUCCAAAGAAGGCUGGCUAGACAGAAAAUAUACCACCAUUACAUCAAACACUGGCAUUCCUGGCAGCUGGACUGCAACAUGACCCACAGCGUUCAAAGUCAUUUAGUGUUGGUGCCUUUUUUGAGAAUUUCUUCUUGUGUUUCUCGUUCCCUCGUGUUCCCUCUGUCUCAUCUAUGUGCUUGUAUCCUCUGUAAUCAUGUUUAGGGUCAGCCAUGUCUUUUCUUUAUUUCCUGUUUUAGUGUUUUUUUUAUGCUUUGCAUUAGUUUUACUUCCUUCUUUGGGAUUUCCUGCGCU